AGUGAACGCUGGCGGUAGGCCUAACACAUGCAAGUCGAACGGCAGCACAGUAAGAGCUUGCUCUUACGGGUGGCGAGUGGCGGACGGGUGAGGAAUACAUCGGAAUCUACUUUUUCGUGGGGGAUAACGUAGGGAAACUUACGCUAAUACCGCAUACGACCUACGGGUGAAAGCAGGGGAUCUUCGGACCUUGCGCGAUUGAAUGAGCCGAUGUCGGAUUAGCUAGUUGGCGGGGUAAAGGCCCACCAAGGCGACGAUCCGUAGCUGGUCUGAGAGGAUGAUCGGCGACACUGGAACUGAGACACGGUCCAGACUCCUACGGGAGGCAGCAGUGGGGAAUAUGGGACAAUGGGCGGAAGCCUGAUCCAGCCAUACCGCGUGGGUGAAGAAGGCCUUCGGGUUGUAAAGCCCUUUUGUUGGGAAAGAAAAGCAGCAGGUUAAUACCCCGCUGUUCUGACGGUACCCAAAGAAUAAGCACCGGCUAACUUCGUG
rnacentral:rRNA from 1 species